AUGAAAGUCUGCUUGUUGCAGCUGGGUGUAGGACAGGCAGCUUACGACUUGUCCAGCUUCAGAACCAUUGCCUUUCACAACCUGUUCACCCUCCCCAGCUUUGGUUCCUGUACUGAUAAAAUAAAGGGUGGAGGGCUGCUGGCAGGGAAAAGGAAGAUGCAGCAUUUAAGCUUUGCCCCAGUGGAGCAUGGUGCUGGCUGGGGUGGGACAACCUGGGGUCCUCUGAGAUGCUGGAGUUUGAGUCACCACGCAAGAAUCCUUGAGGGGAUUCCCUUGGAGCAGCAAUCACCGGAGCCUCCUGCGGUGUUCCCAUCACUGACAGCACCCCCAGUUUCUACCAGCAGCACCAUGGUGGUGGUGAUGUCCAGGCUCAGCAGCUGGAGGCUGAGUCAUCAUCCCUGGAGAUGUAGAGGUGGUGCUGAGGGACAUGGUUUAGAGGUCCGUUGGAAGACACUUGAUCCGUCCCGCUUUUCUCACUCACAGAAGGAAAACUUGCCAUAAAGAAAUAUUAUGUGUGACCUUCAAAAGUGACUGUCGCCCUCUCUGUCUCAGUCUGCGCUCUAUUUUUCAUAGAAACCUGUUUCUGUGUUGCAUUAUGGGGGAAAUAAGCCAUUCAUCUUUGUCGCUGCUGCUGUUGCUUCUGCUGGGGGAGUCACUCCCCGCGGGCGCGUGAAGAACAGUGGGUCAAGCAGCACUUGGGCAAUUUCUAGAGGUGGACCUGCAGCAAUCCAUCAGUUGCUUCCCUUCUGGAAAUCAAUAGUCAUCUAUAGUACAAGUGCUUCUGACCCCUGAAAGUUAUUAAAUAAAGUCAUGCACAGAUUAAAAAAAAAAAAAAAA
rnacentral:lncRNA from 1 species